UGCAACCUCUGCCUCCCGGGUUCAAGCCAUUCUCUUGCCUCAGCCUGGGAUUAUAGGCACACGCCACCACACCCGGCUAAUUUUUGUAUUUUUAGUAGAGACAGGGUUUUGCCAUGUUUGUCAGGCUGGUCUCAAAACUCCCGACCUCAGGCGAUCUACCCGCCUUGGCCUCUGAAAGUACUGGGAUUACAGCAACUCCCAAAACACACAUGGCCCCAGAGAAUAAGAGGACCACAGCUGAGUUGCUUUUCAGACAUCAGACAGCUGUCCUUGUGGAUGAAAGAAACUCCUUUCCAACUUUGAAGAAAAUGUCCAGGGAUCGGGGAGCAGGCAUGUGAUAUUCUUCAAGGUGCCACCAGCCUUUCUCAAUAAAACAUCUCCAGUGGGAAAACAUGGAACCCAGAAAGGGCUGGUGUGGGAAAAAUAUGACAAGGAUGGCCGGCAAAGUAAACCCAUGGUGAAUUCAACCCUGAGAAAGCAGAUUUCCUGGAGUGUGCAAGCUUUGCUUAGGCUUAGUUUUAAUAAAUAAUAAAGAGACACAAUUAAACAAACUAAAGGUGAUCUUGCCCCGGAUGGCUCCUUAGGAUCUUUAGAACAUGGCAAUUCAAUUUAAACGCGGAGCCCCUACUCUGCUGGACUGACAGGAAAUUGAACUGUCCAGGUCAUGACUCCCGUGUAUGAAGUGCAGCUGUCCAGGUCACCCCUGGAACAUCUUUCACAACCUUGCUGAGGGCCCUGCUAGGAACCAGGCAUCUUAAGAAGCACUAGGUCAUCUGGAGGCCCUUCCCAUCAUUAGUUCACAUGAGCACGUCCCAGUCUGCAUGGUCUCCUUGGGGUUACCCCUCUGCUAUUAAAUAUUUUCUAGAAAAAAAAAAAAAAGACUCUUUGGCAAAGACCCAGCCUCCCUGAGGCACAUACAGCGAGGGGGUACCACCAAGAAGCAGGUGACAUCCUUGAGGCUUCUGGAUUCACAGACCUUUUUAGUUUAGGAAAAUACAGCCCUCCUCAAACCCUAUUCUUCUCUGCAGGUUUAUUUGAAAUGAAAGCCUGGAAGUCCAGCCACAAGUCUCUCCUGAGGCUGAGACACAGAGCCAGCCAGAAUGAAAAAUGGAAAGGGGAAAAUACAGAGAGAGAAAUUAAAUCAGUAUCUCAAAGGUUUUCCUCUUUUUUCUAAAAUGAAAUUCCUUUCAUUUUAGUGUUUAUUUUAGAGUUGAGGCAACUGAGACAUGGGCAUAAUGACCAAAGGCACACAACUAGUUACAAACAGUGACACAACCAGUUACUGACACCUACUAGUUACUGACAGAUACUAACAGCCAACAAUAGCUGGCUCUUUCUAUUAUACCAUGGUGCCUCUUCAUUUUUUCUGAUUUCCAACCUCUUUUCUAUUCUAAACUGCCCUUGUUGAUAGGCACUUAAGUCUCUGCACCUACAGUCUUAGACAUAUUUGGAAACUUCUCUUAAGCAUGUUGAUCCAUCCAGGGCUGAAUUAUCUGUGAUCAAAAGAAUUACUCCACCCUGGGGCAUAUCCAACAAGAUGAAAGAUUCAGAAAUAAAUUACAUUGUGCUCCAUUCUUCCUGGCUCUCAACAUCUUCCCGCAUAAGAAAUCAGUUUCCUGAGAGUCUCCAGGCUCCAAAAGGCCAUCCUAAGGGAUGAAGGCAAAGUCUCAUGGGUCCAGCCACCCACCACAGACAUCUCUAGGAUGACUUUGGGGACCUGAUUGUUCCUGUGGCAAUGAUGCAUGUGGCCUGGGAGUUUUGGGAAAGGUAGGUUCAUGAGCUAUUUAUGUGUAGUUAAGUGUUUGGUCUUUCUGAGCAUCAGCUGGCAAGGCCAUGUCCUCAUCCCACUGCCUCUGAGAGUCACUGCUUAGCUGUGUCUAAGCAAUGAGGGGAAGAGGGGGUGAUAUUGUAUCUAACUUUGAGAGUAAUCAUUACUGUGUCAGUGUGCAAAUGACAAGUUCCAGUGGGUAGUGUAGAAGGUUUUCUAGUUAUUUUGUCUAUUAUAGGCAUGGUCCAAUACUUCCUCUUCCUCUUUCUUUUAAUAAAGGACUGCAAGAGAAAAGGAUGUACUGUUAUGCUUUAUAAUUCAGGCAGACAAUACAGGUAUUGGCUAACUUGAUUUGCCAUGAUCAGCUGCCUU
rnacentral:lncRNA from 10 species